UCUUCACUUACACGUUUUUCAAAGUGUGUGUGUGUGUGUGUCUCUCUCUCUCCAUGAUGCGGACCUUUCACCAGAAACUGCACUUGCUUUAACAACAUUCACUAGCAUCUGUGCUUUAUGAGGUUAUGCUUAUUCUAGGUUUCCAUAUCACAUUUAUAAAAGAUUUAACAGCAGAGCAAUGAUGGCAUGUACAUUGUCUGUUUAUAAAAGC